UGACCUCAACUCAGUCGUGAUUACCCGCUGAAUUUAAGCAUAUAACUAAGCGGAGGAAAAGAAACUAACGAGGAUUUCCCUAGUAACGGCGAGUGAAAAGGAAAAAGCCCAACGCUGAAUCCAAUAGACAUUAUAUGGCUAUAUGGAAAUGUAGCGUAUAGGUAUAACUAUCCGUAACAUAUUUUUACACCCAAAGUCCCCUUGAGCGGGGCUACAGUCCAUAGAAGGUGCUAGACCUGUACGGGUGAAAAAAGUUACGGUAGGUUAUUCCUUGGAGUCGGGUUGUUUGAGAUUGCAGCCCAAAGAGGGUGGUAAACCUCAUCUAAGGCUAAAUACGACCAUGAGACCGAUAGCAAACAAGUACCGUGAGGGAAAGUUGCAAAGAACUUUGAAGAGAGAGUUCAAGAGGGCGUGAAACCGCUGAGAUGGAAACGGAUAGAGUUAACAAAACUUAUCGGUAUUCAACCAAUCAAUUUAGCAAUCAUAAACAUUUCAUUAUUCAUUAAUAAUUUUUUUUUUUUUAUUAAUGAAUAAAAUGAUAU
rnacentral:ncRNA from 1 species